UGGAGUGGAAACAACGCCAGAUAACGCCCGGCAGACGCCCAUUUUUAUCAGUGAAGUUCUAGAAUCAUGUGUGUCAUGUCCCGUUAUUUUUAUUAGCUAGGGCAAUAGCAUCAGCAGUAUGGACCAUAGUUUUGCAAUUGCCACUGGUCCAUGGUGUAAAGUGAUUGUUCAGUGGAUACCAAGGACUUUGGAAUUCUUUUUCAUUGUUACUCCACUAUGGAUCCCUCUUAAGUCUCCAGUGAUAUCGGUCCUGAUACCGUAAUUUACCAGCUCUUUACCAGAAAAAAUGUAAAUGAGGCCUACAUUCUACAAUUAAAUAAUGUUUCAUUACUAGAACAGUCAAAUUAUAACAAAAGUCUUCCAACUAAAAUAUUUGCACAUGGUUGGGGUGGUUUUCCAGACCAAGGAUAUUCGUCUAAAGAUGAAUACCUACUCCAGGAGGACUGUAAUUUUAUAUCGGUGGACUGGUCUGUUCUAGCUGAAGGUGACCAUGUAACUGUUUCUUUAAUCAAUGUACCUAUAGCUGGAGCUGCAACUGGGGCAUUUGUGGAUAUUCUCAUUGGUCAAGGAACACCACUCUCAGAUUUUUUACUGAUAUUGUCCAACCAAUAUACAAUUUGUAUUGGAAGAUUUCACUUUAUAUUUAUGUAUUUUCAAAUGUUACAGAAUGUUGCAAUCACUGUCGCGUCGUGGACCUUUAUGCGGAAUCCAUCAACAGCCCCUUAGGCUUCAAUGCAUUUCAGUGCGAUUCGUGGGAAAAUUACCAAAAUGGAGAUUGCCAAGAAAACGUCAAUACGUUGAUGGGCGAACCAGUUUCAAUAAACUACUGUUAUUCGGUAUAAAAUAAUCGCCCUCAUCACGUUAAUUGAAGUGUCCGAGGAUCGUUCCUUUUAGCAACAAACAGGGAAUCGCCGUUUGCCCAAGGAUGACUUUUAAACUUGGCUGAAAACGUCUCACCUCCAAUGAUUUAUCGACUGAAGUAGCUAGAAUGUUAUACAAGUCCACAAUAAUACCUUUACUCAGCAGCAUGAAAGAUGAAAUCCCCGCAUGCCAGUUGCCGGGCAAUAUUCAAGGAGUCCAAGUGUUACAGCAACAACAGGUGUAGGCGCUGUAACUGCUGGAGGUGUUAGCUACCUCCAAUGGAUGGUAAGCAACCCACCCGAAGAUUGAUAUGACGACGAUGCGGUUAACACUAAACAUCUAUCAACACAUUCUUCAUCUUCCUCGGCACUUGGGAAGCAGGUUGAAACUAGACCAGUUUUCCGGUGUCCAAAACCGACCACGAAUCCAAUUCUUGUCCAUGUAUUCCAGCAGCCUUGCCAGUUCCUGUGGUGCUGAGUCCCGCAAACCGUCAAAUACGGAAGGAAGAUACGCAAGGCAAAGAAGACGGAAUACAAAAUCUCGAAUUGGAUUGGGCCCUUUUUUGUUAUAAGCUGAAGAAAGCUUUAGGUCGCGAAUCUUCUUCAAGAUAGCUUGACACCAAUGGAAAUUGCAUCCUUGGUGGAUGCAAUUUCCAAAAAGCAAUUUCCAAAUAAUCGAAGGUUCAUCCCUUCUAAUGAUCCGUGACUCACUGGAAAGAUAGUGAUCCAAACCAAUAAAUUCCGAUAAACAAAAGCUCAUCAAUAUGAAUGAGUCAUUCAUGUUCAUUAAAGAAAAUUCUAGAACCGACAAAGAUAAAGGUAUUUAUUUGCGGGAUACUGCUUGCAAAUACGCUUACUGGUAAUUGUUUCCUACCAAAUUUUUAUACUGGUCAUCUUCCAUAGCUACCAGAAACUUAGAAGUUAAUACUUUAUAUUGUGUGGUUCAUAAAAAAAUUUAACAAAAAUUAAACAGCAAUCAUUGUUUAUUAAUGUAAUGCAUCGUACAUAACGUAAUGCAUACCCUAUUACAUCGGGAAAGGGUGCAAGAAUGCAGCAGAAAACUAACACGUAUGAUGAUAUUCAACAUUACCAAGCUUACAGAAUAUUCAUCAAUUUUUCAUAAAAUGAGCUGUAUAAAUCACUUCAUAUACAAUGCAUUAAUGCAAGAAAAUAAAAAAUCGGAGUUAAAACAAAAUUUUUUUGGCUGUUUCAAUGUAUGCAUAAACGCCAACGCUGUUCUGUCGGCUGAAAACUAUAUAACCCGUGCCUGUACGAAGCCGGAUAGGACCUACGAAGGGGAGAAAUAGGACCCAUCUAGCGGAGAAAUAGGACCCUAAAAAGAAAGUUUGAAAAGGGGGGCCUAUUUCUCCGGGUCCUAUUUCUCCAUGGCUUUUUCUUGGGUCCUAUAUCUCCGGGUCCUAUCUGUCGGGGUCCUAUUUCUCCGGCUACCGACCUUGUGGGCAAUCAUUUUUGUUUCUCAGGGAAAGAAUGUGUUAGCAGCAAUUGCCUUUUCAGCUGCCUUAAACUUUAAGCAGAUGGAGUUGUAUCAUGCAAUACUUCUAUUUGCUGGCUUCUAUUUGCUGGCUUCCUGUCAACCUAAAGGUUCCUCACUUCCCUCCCAACUAAAGAAUUUGGUCCAGAUUGGCGCUGCCACAGUGGCGACCUUUGCAAUCAUUUGCGUGGAAUCUUUGAAGACUAUGUCGCCAAUUUUUGGUGCACGCUAAAUGUUGUGAUCAAAAUCAAACGACUAUUAAACCCAACCUCAAUCGCCUCGGGAACUAUCACCUAGGCCAUGCCCGUGCCUGAAAGAAAAAGUCAGGACGUUGAUUCGAACGGAUUCGAAUGCAACGAGCACUAAGUACGGUCACAUUAUUGGAGGAAUGACCGUGUGCUUGGUUCGUGAUUUGGAGUCACAAGUGAUAGCUGCAAGCUGAUAUCACUCGAACCACUGCACCAACCCGACUAAGCGUAUACUUACCUAUCAUACUUACCAUACGAAAUUUGCUUCAUCAAGUCUUUUAUACUGUCUCAUAGAUGAUCGAAAAAAGCUGCAGCUCAUUAUGGCGUCAGUUUAGCUUUAAUGCUAAAUUUCGCAAACACGGUGAACUAGAUUGACAAUAAUAAAAAAUGAACUUUAUUCGUCA